rnacentral:lncRNA from 1 species
AAAAUAUAAAUACGAUACUCUGGAUAACCUCCCGGGUGAAGUGCUCACCGAUAUCCGUGCGCUUGCGGAUCAUUUCCCGAUGGCGUUACCAAAUAUCAACAAGCAUUUCUGGCGCCGUUGCUGGGGAGAAAGACGGUUUGCUGAGAUAACUUUGAGUCUUGCUAUUAUCUUGUAUUAUACUUUUAUUCUUUUAUCUUUUUAUUUUUUCCAUCUUUAUGGAUAACUCAAAUUCCACACCUAUUAUUGAAAUUUUUGCACCUUCGGAGACCAGCUGUAACAUCCACGAUGUUACGGUUACUAAAAUCCGGAUCAUGGCAUCAUCAGCAUUGCACCGCAUAUUUGUUAAGCACACUUUGAUGCAUCACCUUCAAAUAAGUUUAAUUUGGUUGAAUGUGCUUAGGGAAUUAAAGUGUGAUUAUCUUGUGUAUCGAUGCUUGUGUUGGUUGCUAAAACCGUAGGGUGGAAGUUUUCCGAAAGACUAGGG